UCCUGAUUUUUCUUGUUUAAGACAGUAAGGUAAAUUUAGUUUCUUUAUUGUGUCUAUAAGCACAAGUCCUGUGUUGUGUGUUAUUUUCUCUUACCAAAAGGAUUUUAGAGCUGGAAUAUAAUAAGAACAGAGGAAAUUUACAGGUAAACCUUUUACUUCCACCUUUUUUACUUCCCCAAAAGCCUCCAUUGUGACCCAUGUGCAUUGCAGAACUCCAAGAUGCUUUGAACUUGCAUUUACUGACAAUGGAUUAAAACUAAAAAAGGUAUAUUCAGUCUGUUUAUUGCACACUGGCUGUGUGGCACUCAUCUCUGUAAACAGUCCAUAAUAUAGACAGAUACUUCGGAGGAUCCCUGGAAAUGGUCAUAUUCUUUGGUUUAACCAGUUUGCAUUUGUUUCUGAGCAGCAUGAAGGCCAGCAGCUUCUCCCUGGGCCUCCGUGAGGGUCCUCGCUGGGUAUCUUGUGGAAACAUUCAAUGCCCAGCAUCACUGGUGGCAUCAGAAAUGCCCAGGAAAUGAAGUUCUUGAAAGCUUAUAUCCAAGACCCCCAAGGACAACGCAAAGCGAAUGUGUUCCUUUUGAGGAGGGCAUGUUGAAGCAGCAAGCUACAAGUAUUUUAUUAAAAUCUCACAGAUUAUAUUAAAAACUGGGAAAAAACCCAUGAAUGUAACUGUAUUUUUCAUAUUUUGAAAUCAUAUAUUCUUUGUGUUCAGUGGCUCUAUGUACCACAAUAUUUGGCUUCUUUUUCUAGCACCACACUAUUAAUUUGAAGAGUUAGUCUAUGCAGAACUCCAUUAUGUCAAAAACUCCAUUUUUGUCAACUACAUGUGAGAUAAGACCUUUUUUGUCCUUGAACUCCUGAGCUCAAGUGAUCCUCUUGCCUCAGCCCCCUGACUAACUGCCAUCAUGCCUGAUUGACUGUAUCUGCCCAGCUGGCCUCAUGAAUGGAUGCCUUCUUCAUGGUCAAGUAAUAGAAGUAUGGAGACUGUCUGGCUGCACCACUUCCUGGCUGGGUGACCUUUAGCAAGUUAAUUUGCCUUCCUGUAUCUGCAAGUCCUCAUCUGGAAAAUGAAGAUAACAGUGCUCAUCUCAUAGAACUGCAAUGAGGAUUAAAUGAUAAUCCCAUAAGAUGCUUACAGUAAUGUCUAGUACAUGGUCCCUUGAAGAGCUCUCACAGUGGUGGGCCUUGACUGUUGCCCUAACUGUGCCCCCUGUCAACUAGAAGCAUCUGGAGUGAAUGACGCCCCUGCACCAGUAACAACAGUUGGGUGACACUGUUGGGCAGGGUGGGGGGUGGGGUUGAGACCAGGAGAUA